rnacentral:rRNA from 1 species
AGCCCAACUCUAGCCCAAACCCCCGCCCCUCCAACAAGCACCAAAAAUCCACUCAACCACUGAACCAAAACAUUUCCAUAACCUAGUAUAGGCGAUAGAAAAGACUAUUAGGCGCGAUAGAAAGUUGUACCGUAAGGGAAAGAUGAAAUAGUAAUGAACAAGUUAAGCAGUAAACAGCAAAGAUAAGCCCUUGUACCUUUUGCAUUAUGAUUUAGCAAGAACAACCAAGCAAAGCGUACUUAAGUUUGCCACCCCGAAACCUAAGCGAGCUACUUACAAGCAGCUGCCCCCCCCCCGAGCGCACCCGUCUCUGUUGCAAAAGAGUGGGAUGACUUGUUAGUAGAGGUGAAAAGCCAACCGAGCUAGGUGAUAGCUGGUUACCUGUGAGACGAAUCUAAGUUCUACCUUGACGCCCCCUCCAAGAACCCCAAGCUACCCUAAUGUAGGCAGUCAAGAGCAAUUUAAAGGAGGUACAGCUCCUUUGAAAAAGAAAACAACCUCUCCUAGCGGAUAACUUUUUUCCCAACAACAAUUGUGGGCCUUCAAGCAGCCACCAACAAAGAGUGCGUCAAAGCUCCAUACACCCUUAAAGAUCCAAAAACUAUCUGAUUCCCUUACCCUUAACAGGUCAACCUAUCACAAUAGGAGAGUUAAUACUAAAAUGAGUAACUAGGACAAGCCUCCUCUUAAGCGCGAGCUUACAUCCUGCAUUAUUAACAGGUAAUUAAUACCCCUAUUACCAACAAGAUUACGUAUUUUACACCCUGUUACCCCAACCCAGGAGCGCCUAUUAGAAAGAUUAAAUCCUGUAAAAGGAACUAGGCAAGUCUUCAAGGCCCGACUGUUUACCAAAAACAUAGCCUUCAGCCCAACAAGUAUUGAAGGUGAUGCCUGCCCGGUGACCCUAUUGUUAAACGGCCGCGGUAUCCUAACCGUGCGAAGGUAGCGCAAUCAAUUGUCCCAUAAAUCGAGACUUGUAUGAAUGGCUAAACGAGGUCUUAACUGUCUCUUACAGGUAAUCAGUGAAAUUGAUCUUCCUGUGCAAAAGCAGGAAUAAACACAUAAGACGAGAAGACCCUGUGGAACUUAAAAAUCAAUGGCCACCCCUAACACAAUCAAACCUACCAGGCUCACUACCAAUAAAACGCUGGCCCAUAUUUUUCGGUUGGGGCGACCUUGGAGAAAAAUAAAUCCUCCAAAAAUAAGACCACCCCUCUUAACCAAGAGCAACCCCUCAAAGUACUAAUAGUAACCAGACCCAAUACAAUUGACCAAUGGACCAAGCUACCCCAGGGAUAACAGCGCAAUCCCCUCCAAGAGCUCAUAUCGACGAGGGGGUUUACGACCUCGAUGUUGGAUCAGGACAUCCUGAUGGUGCAGCCGCUAUCAAGGGUUCGUUUGUUCAACGAUUAACAGUCCUACGUGAUCUGAGUUCAGACCGGAGCAAUCCAGGUCGGUUUCUAUCUAUGAUAAACUUUUCCUAGUACGAAAGGACCGGAAAAGUGGGGCCAAUGCUUCAACGUACGCCUCCUCUCUAGGCAAUGACUUCAACUAAACUGCUAAGAGAUCUUCCAUAAUAUAAUCCUAGAAAAGGAUAG